rnacentral:misc_RNA from 1 species
GAUGAAGAACGUAGCGAAAUGCGAUAAGUAAUGUGAAUUGCAGAAUUCAGUGAAUCAUCGAAUCUUUGAACGCACAUUGCGCCCCUUGGUAUUCCGAGGGGCAUGCCUGUUCGAGCGUCAUUAUAACCCCUCAAGCUCAGCUUGGUGUUGGGGCCUGCUGCACUGGCAGCCCUUAAAAUCAGUGGCGGCGCCAUAUGGCUCUAAGCGUAGUAAUUCUUCUCGCUAUGGAGUCCUGGUGGAUGCUUGCCAUCAACCCCCAAUUUUUCUAUGGUUGACCUCGGAUCAGGUAGGGAUACCCGCUGAACUUAAGCAUAUCAAUAAGCGGAGGA